ACAAACCUUCUUGAUCAUUCAAACGGAGAGAUUUACUAAUUGGUAACAUGAAAACAUUUCAACCUCAAUAACUGUGAUGAUCGUAUUCGACUUCAUUCAUUGACUCGGGAUGUCGGUGGUUGCAGCGCUGGGUUCUCUUUUGGACUCGGCCUCCCCCAUUGAUGAACGUCCGCUGUCGCUAUUCCAAGGCAGAGUGAGCGACAGGCUUAUUCAGCACAGU
rnacentral:snoRNA from 1 species